GAAAUGCGAUAAGUAAUGUGAAUUGCAGAAUUCAGUGAAUCAUCGAAUCUUUGAACGCACAUUGCGCCCGCAGGUAUUCCGGCGGGCAUGCCUGUUCGAGCGUCAUUUCAACCCUCAGGCCUCGCCUGGUGUUGGGGCUCCUGCGCACCGCAGGCCCUCAAAGGCAGCGGCGGGUGCGCCUACGAACCGAACGCAGUAGUUUUCUCUCGUUCUGGUCGCGCGGGCGUGCUCCGGCCGUUAAACCCCCCCUUUUUCCAAUGGUUGACCUCGGAUCAGGUAGGAAUACCCGCUGAACUUAA
rnacentral:misc_RNA from 1 species